CACGUAGGGGGCAAGCGUUGUCCGGAUUUAUUGGGCGUAAAGAGCUCGUAGGCGGCUCAGUAAGUCAGGUGUGAAACCUCCAGGCUCAACCUGGAGACGCCACCUGAUACUGCUGUGGCUAGAGUCCGGUAGGGGAGCGUGGAAUUCCUGGUGUAGCGGUGAAAUGCGCAGAUAUCAGGAGGAACACCAGCGGCGAAGGCGGCGCUCUGGGCUGGAACUGACGCUGAGGAGCGAAAGCGUGGGGAGCAAACAGG
rnacentral:rRNA from 1 species